UACGUAGGGGGCAAGCGUUGUCCGGAAUCAUUGGGCGUAAAGCGCGUGUAGGCGGCUCGGUAAGUCCGCUCUGAAAGUCCAGGGCUCAACCCUGGGAUGCGGGUGGAUACUGCCGGGCUCGAGUCCGGAAGAGGCGAGUGGAAUUCCCGGUGUAGCGGUGAAAUGCGCAGAUAUCGGGAGGAACACCGGUGGCGAAGGCGGUUCUCUGGGCCUGUUCUGACGCUGAGGAGCGAAAGCGUGGGGAGCGAACAGG
rnacentral:rRNA from 1 species